UGUAAGCGUAUACCAAAGUUGUUGCAGUUAAAACGCUCGUAGUCGGAAUUUGGCAGUUCCGGAAGUGUGCACGUCGUGUGCGCACUUUGCGGGGACUGCUUUUGUGGUCUUGCGUAGGAUGAGGCACUUUCAUUAGUGAACGUCCUCACGCAACCACUCUUUACUGUGAGAAAAUCAGAGUGCUCAAAGCAGGCAUUUGCCGUGAAUGUAUUAGCAUGGAAUAAUGGAAUAGGACUUGGUUCUAUUUUGUUGGUUUGUUGGGACUGAGUAAUGAUUAAGAGGGACAGUUGGGGGCAUUUGUAUUUCGGUGCUAGAGGUGAAAUUCUUAGAUUACCGAAAGACAAACUGCUGCGAAAGCGUCUGCCAAGGAUGUUUUCAUUGA
rnacentral:rRNA from 1 species